AGUGUUGGCUUUUCGUUUUUCGUUGAGCAGUAUCGCUCUGUCUCCGCUCUAAGGUCGUCACACAUGUGUCCCACACUAUUGCAUCACUGAACCAGUCUGAAACUGUGUUCUCCUCCCCUCUCCUCCUCCAGGUGGACGUAGACUUCCCGCAUCACCGCCGUGGUCUGCCACUCGCUGCUCUUAAUUCAGUGGUGGGCAUGUUUAUGCCGUGGUUGACCGACUCUCCAUUCGGCGUGGAGAUGUGAGCUUCCUGCAGGAAACAGGCCAGAUGCUGCCCUCCACAGCUGGACCAGCCUGCAGCUGUCAUAGUACCACACACACAAACACACAGACACACACUCACACACACUCUGUUGUCUUUGUGAGGACAUUCAUUGAUGUGUUGCAUUCUUUAACUCCUUAUUCUGAAUUUGACCACCAGUAAGGAUAUACCCAGCCCUAAUCCUAACCUAAAUCUAAUUAUACCAUUUCCCCAAAACUGACCUCAAUUUGAUAAAACCGCUUCACUCCCCUGACUUAAAAGCCAAGCUGGUCCUCACUACGACACUUGUACAGUUAGUUGUAGUCCUAAGUUCGGUUCGGUUUUUAGUUCACUUUCUGUUUUUCAUUAGUUUGUAGGUAAACUUUACCCUCUCACCUUUUUCUUCAUCUCUUUGAAAAAAACAACAAAAAAUCUUUUCACUAAGUAGUUCACUUUCUUGUUUUCAUCAGUGCUUAGUUUGUAGUUCUGUUCCUGUAGCUCUUUUACACUUUCUUUUGUGUAAAUCAGCUGAUGUUAUCAGAGGCGGUGUCAACCGGUUACCGACUCUUGACAGGUUGACCCCGCCCCUUGCUGUUGGCCCGCCUCCAGGUGUGUGAGAGCAGAAAAAAAAAGCCUCCUUGUCCCGGUUCAGAGCUUCCAUAAUCCAGCGUUGGUGCCUGUUGUUCUUUGGUUCUCUGGUUGACUUUGGCCUUUUUCCAGUCCACGAUGUGAUUUUCCCAUUUGCAGUGGCCCAUUAUUGCCAGUUUCAUGUGUACGGUCAAUGCCUGUUGUUUUCCUCUGUCUUUUUUCCGCUUUGGUCUUAGCGGAGCUCCUGGUUCAUGUACUCAGAAGUGGUUUCAGUAGCAUUUUACGUUUGGUUCUUUUUCUUCCGUGGGAUCUUUUUUCAGGACUUCACGAGUGUUUCCAUAUUGGAGCAUGUCUUGCAUGUGUCGUUCAUAAUGUUAUGUGUCCAGUAAGACUGUGGUUCUGCCUUUGUCUGCCGGGGGAAUUGUUACGCCCGUAUUGUUUUUUAGUGUGUGAACGGCCCUUGCCUCCUUUUUGUCGAUGUUGCUGGGUGGUCAUUUGGUUGUUUUGAGGAUGCCUGCUACUUCCUUUCGUAGUGCUGCUUUUUCACCUUGGUCCUGUAUUUUUUCACAAGCUAACUCCAUGGCUAAGAGGAGUUCCCCAUGUGGAAUCUUAUUUGGAGUUGGGGCGUAGUUUAAGCCGCUUUGGUUUGCUUUGUUUGACACAUUUGUUUUCUGCAGAAUUCCAUGUUUUCCUUGAUAGUUUCAAUGUCUUAAGUGUGACUCUACAGUGGAGAAAACGACAAAGAAAUCCUGUUUCAUAAGACGGUGUGUCCAGCCUUUCGACUGCUCCUGGAUGUUGUUUGGCUUUUCCAGUGCCCAACAUGUAUUUCGCUACAUUGUCACCUCACUAUCCACAGAAAGAGUGGUCACCUGCCCUGACAUCGGCAAUGUCUGAGCUGUGUUGCAGGUAAAAUGUCUGAGACUCUACUCCCAGUGUGUCAUUUGCAUUUGGAAACGGUUACUGUAAACCAGGAAAAUGCAAGAAAAGAAAAUCUGAAUGCAAAGAGCGGAGUGAACGUUGUGCAGUCACUACUACAUGGACGUGCAGACAAAGAGAUCUGCAGAGAGGGCAGGGCAGCGCACUGACACUAAGUGCUCUCAGCAGGGAACUCUGGAUGUCUUCAAGAAAAGAUAAGAUGUGAUGGGAAGAGAGAGUGCGUGUGUGAAAUAAACAUCGACGUCGUCCGUACUUCUGAUCCCUGCUGUGGCAUCUACAAAUACCAGGACACCACCUACGCCUGCUUCCCAGCAAAAGACGGGCAGGUGAUAUUUGUCUGAUUACGCUAUGACGACUGCUCAAAGCCCACAACAAGAGCUGCUGAAAGCUGUGAUGGGAAACAGCAGCUAUGCUGUCACAGCAAGAAACUCUUUGUUUGGGGACCCGCGUGGAGGCACAAGUACCUGGAGGUGGUUUACAGACGUCAGUAUCCCUGGGCUGACUAAUAUCACUGGAAUGGAUAGUAAACCACCAUGAAGAUUUUGAUGCGAACGUUUUUAAUUUAAUAAUCACCACUACCCUUUGCUAUAAAAAUCAACUGACCUAGUCUACGUUUAAAUGUUAUAAGUAAUGAUGUUAGGACUAAUGAGAAUUGUACCUCACCAGUAUUUCUAUGAUUUCACUGUGCUGCUCUUUUUUAAGAAUUCUUGUCAAAUAUUCUUGCUAAAACAGGUGUUUUACAAUUUUCAUUUUGAUUAAUUAGUAGAAAAAAAAAUAUAUAUAACUAGCCGAUCAUUGGUUAGUGUUUACAUUUGAAGAGAAAGCUGUGGAUCUUCUCCGAGCAUCUUCUGUUGAGGUGCUCAUGCUUCUGUAACUAUUUUACUCUGGUAUUAGGAAUCACGAUAUGUUUGAUGUAGGUUAGGCUUCUUCAGAUUCUGUAGUACAGAAAUCCACCAUGUUUUGUGGUGUAAAUACUGACAUGUACAGAAAUAGUCCAUGAUAUAGUUAUACAAUCAGCAUCAUAGUUUAUAUCACUGCAUCCCUGGUCCUCACAGGUAGAAGUCGCUCUCACACCCUUAAAAUAUGCACACAGUGCACAUCAGUUGUGAGAGCUUCACUUGAAUAAUUAAAAACAAAAAGUUUGACUUCUACAAUCCGAGGAACCUGGCCCCAUCACAAAGUUCUUUGCAGAGUUUACAGCUGUGUACAGCUGCCCCACAGGGCUGGUGUGUUAAAGCUGAAUAUCUACAUCUGUAAAUAUUUUUGUACACAUUUACUGUAUAUAUUUAUAUUAUUUCUGCAAGCAUCUAUCAUUUAUUGGGGAAUAAUUAAUUCUUAUCUUCCUAAAUGAAUCCAACACAGAGCUCUAGCAGGAGGUUACCUACUUCCCUCACCUUCCCUUCAGCUGAUCGCUGCCACUCAGUGGAGGAGGGGUGUUACCUAAAUGUGGGGACACUUCCUGUUCCUGGCUGUUUGUGGGUUUAACUUUUCCUCUGCUGGAGCUCGCAUCAUCAUCAUCAUCUCGAUGGACACCAGUACCACCUGACAGCUAGAGGGCAAGGGAUCGAUUCCCUGUCUUAGGUAUCUGCACUGCUGCGGACGUCUCUUCAUCCGCUACCUGUUUGCAAAAUAAAAAUAAUAAAAAAAAAAAAAAGUUUACAUUUCUCUUUAUAUCAA